AAUUGGUAGGUGAGUGCUAAAGUCUCCUGACAACAGAAUUGCGAUCUUAAAAUUGGAGAAAAAUGACAAGUAGCUGAAAAAAUGGAGCCAAUGGAUGCGAUAUAUCGCAUGCCGUUCUGACACAAAAUAAGGCGUCCAUCAAAUCACCUUAAUCACUUGUGGCUUGUGAUGUUCAAUUUCACUAGAUGCAUACAUUUCAUUGAAUUGGAUGAAUGAUUUGGUUGACAGCAAUCCAAAACCUGAGGAUAACUCAAGGUUAUUCCCAGCAGAUUGCUCGGGCACCGAGUAGUUCACUGCUGUGAACAUGAUGGAAAACCAGGCUUCUUUUCUCUUAUCAUAGUCAGAAUGAGUAAAAUGCUCCACUUGACACAGAGCCUGACAUAAAACGAACGGAUAAAUAGAUGAUAAAUAGUUUAAUGGUCACUGCAGAGUAGUCAUCUAACCUCAAAUGAAAACCAAAUAAAAACAAAGCUCACCAAAUGGCGACGAAAGGUAGGGCUUUUUAAGUUGUCAUCUAAAUUUUAGGAACGGAGUGACGUGACACAAACACUGACAUUUUAGGGAAAUUCGUAGGAUUUUGGAGCACACUGCACUUCGAAUUGUGAAAUUAGCGAUUGUUUUAACUUGAAAUUGAAAACAAGAUGGUUUUCUAUCAACACAAGCCUGCCUAUACCAGCAGCAAGCAGUCACAUAGCAUUCACAUAGAGAAACAAGUGAAGGUACACUCUACUACGGUUUUUGCUUCCUGCUGAGAUGCGGCAAACGACAAUCAACGUCCACCAAGGGUUUGCAACGUAUCACCUAUCUCAACAUAAACAUUCUUUUUUACCGCUCUUUUUGUUAUCACUCCACGAACUGUCAGCGUGAGCAGAGCACGUCUUCUUUCUUCUCUUCUUCGCUCUCCUCAACAUCCUUUUAUGUGGACUGUUGAUUUCCUAAAAGCACGAAUCUAUGAGGAAUCAUUAAACAUCCCCUGUUUAAAAACAGAAAUGGCCCUGAUCAGGAACUGAUGCAAGGAACAUCAUCACGGGGCGUUGUUGCAGGCACAUAAUCUUACAUUAGUGACGAGAGGACAAUAAAUCUGGCCAUUCCCGACUUUCUUCCAAUAACCAGAACAAUCCAUCAUCGGUAGGUAUAACAAAUAAUUCAGAAGUUUAUGCAACCCUUUGCUCUGUGGCUUAGGAAGAAAAAUUUAUGAAUGUUGACUGUUGACUCACAUUUUUUUGGGUUGUGAGCUGGCUUUAAUUCAUGACAGCUAAAAAUCAUAUCGUAAAUACUUUUUUUUGCAGAUAUCUAAGGACCGCUUU
rnacentral:lncRNA from 1 species